GACGAACGCUGGCGGCGUGCUUAACACAUGCAAGUCGAACGGUAAGGCCCUUCGGGGUACACGAGUGGCGAACGGGUGAGUAACACGUGGGUGAUCUGCCCUGCACUUCGGGAUAAGCCUGGGAAACUGGGUCUAAUACCGGAUAGGACCACUGCCUGCAUGGGUGGUGGUGGAAAGCUUUUGCGGUGUGGGAUGGGCCCGCGGCCUAUCAGCUUGUUGGUGGGGUGAUGGCCUACCAAGGCGACGACGGGUAGCCGGCCUGAGAGGGUGACCGGCCAAACUGGGACUGAGAUACGGCCCGGACUCCUACGGGAGGCAGCAGUGGGGAAUAUUGCACAAUGAGCGCAAGCCUGAUGCAGCGACGCCGCGUGAGGGAUGACGGCCUUCGGGUUGUAAACCUCUUUCAGCACCGACGAAGCGCAAGUGACGGUAGGUGCAGAAGAAGGACCGGCCAACUACGUGCCAGCCGCCGCCGUAACAC
rnacentral:rRNA from 1 species